ACUCCUACGGGAGGCAGCAGUGGGGAAUAUUGCACAAUGGGCGAAAGCCUGAUGGAGUGACGCCGCGUGGGGGAUGAAGGGCUUCGGCCUGUAAACCCCUGUCAUUUGUGAGCAAACCCUUAGUGCUAAUACCACUAAGGCUGAGAGUAGCAGAAGAGGAAGGGACGGCUAACUCCGUGCCAGCAGCCGCGGUAAUACGGAGGUCCCAAGCGUUGUUCGGAUUUACUGGGCGUAAAGGGUGCGUAGGCGGCGCGGUAAGUUUGGUGUGAAAGCUCCGGGCUCAAACUCGGAAAAUGCACUGAAAACUGCCGUGCUAGAGGGUCGGAGGGGAGAUUGGAAUUCUCGGUGUAGCAGUGAAAUGCGUAGAUAUCGAGAGGAACACCAGUGGCGAAGGCGAAUCUCUGGACGACACCUGACGCUGAGGCACGAAAGCUAGGGUAGCAAAACAGGAUUAGAUACCCUGGUAGGUCAGU
rnacentral:rRNA from 1 species